rnacentral:rRNA from 1 species
AGCAGUCGCCACGGUAAUACAGAGGGUGCGAGCGUUAAUCGGAUUUACUGGGCGUAAAGCGUGCGUAGGCGGCUAAUUGAGUCGGAUGUGAAAUCCCCGAGCUUAACUUGGGAAUUGCAUUCGAUACUGGUUAGCUAGAGUGUGGGAGAGGAUGGUAGAAUUCCAGGUGUAGCGGUGAAAUGCGUAGAGAUCUGGAGGAAUACCGAUGGCGAAGGCAGCCAUCUGGCCUAACACUGACGCUGAGGUACGAAAGCAUGGGGAGCAAACAGGAUUAGAUACCCGCGUAGUCCCUGUCUCUUAUAC